rnacentral:rRNA from 1 species
UACAGAGGUCUCAAGCGUUGUUCGGAUUCAUUGGGCGUAAAGGGUGCGUAGGUGGCGCCGUAAGUCAGGUGUGAAAUUUCGGAGCUUAACUCCGAAACUGCAUUUGAUACUGCGGUGCUUGAGGACUGGAGAGGAGACUGGAAUUUACGGUGUAGCAGUGAAAUGCGUAGAUAUCUGGAGGAACACCGGUGGCGAAGGCGGCAUCCUGAACCGACACUGACGCUGAGGCGCGAAAGCUAGGGGAGCAAACGGG